rnacentral:rRNA from 1 species
AGAAUUUGUCUUUGAUUAGGUCCUNGUNUAUGUUCCUUGGAACAGGACGUCAUAGAGGGUGAGAAUCCCGUUUGGCGAGGAUACCUUUUCUCUGUAAGACUUUUUCGAAGAGUCGAGUUGUUUGGGAAUGCAGCUCAAAGUGGGUGGUAAAUUCCAUCUAAAGCUAAAUAUUGGCGAGAGACCGAUAGCGAACAAGUACAGUGAUGGAAAGAUGAAAAGAACUUUGAAAAGAGAGUGAAAAAGUACGUGAAAUUGUUGAAAGGGAAGGGCAUUUGAUCAGACAUGGUGUUUUUUGCAUGCACUCGCCUCUCGUGGGCUUGGGCCUCUCAAAAAUUUCACUGGGCCAACAUCAAUUCUGGCAGUAGGAUAAAUCAUUAAGAAUGUAGCUACCUCGGUAGUGUUAUAGCUUAUUGGAAUACUGCUAGCUGGGAUUGAGGACUGCGCUUCGGCAAGGAU